AGGUAAAAUACUUUUGGGAUCAUUUGUAUAUUUCAUUACUAGAGAGUGUGUGUAGAGAACCCGAAACCACAAGGAAGAGGUACAGCAUUCUCUCUUGAGCAUGAAGCUAGCUCUAGGUGUUGCUUCUGCAACUGCCAUUAGCCAGUGAUAAUCCUUCUUCUCUUCCUCUGGGAGAAUAAGAGUGAGAGAACACUGUCUGAGUGGU